rnacentral:rRNA from 1 species
UACGUAGGGCGCAAGCGUUGUCCGGAAUUAUUGGGCGUAAAGAGCUCGUAGGCGGCUUGUUGCGUCGGUUGUGAAAGCCCGGGGCUUAACCCCGGGUCUGCAGUCGAUACGGGCAGGCUAGAGUGUGGUAGGGGAGAAUGGAAUUCCCGGUGUAGCGGUGAAAUGCGCAGAUAUCAGGAGGAACACCGGUGGCGAAGGCGGGUCUCUGGGCCGAUACUGACGCUGAGGAGCGAAAGCGUGGGGAGCGAACAGG